ensembl:snRNA U6 U6 spliceosomal RNA
GUGCUUGCUUCAGUGGGACAUAUACUAAAACUGAAAUGAUACAGAGCAGAUUAUCAUGGCCCCUGUGGCAAGGAUGACAUACAAAUUCAUGAAGUGUUCCAUAUUUUU